rnacentral:lncRNA from 1 species
CUUCUGAGAAUGGAAGAGAGAGAGAAAAGGUUUUCUGGAAAAAAUCAAAAAGUGAGGUUUUGGGCCCCUGGGUUUUGCAGAUUCACAGUGGACAGUGAUGAGGUCUCACGGUGGUGAGAUGAAAAAAUGAAAGAGAACCGACAUAGCUUUUCGUGUCGAUUCCCAUAGAUGGCGCCAAAUGUUGAUGCACAAAACCGGAGGUCUUGGAACAACGUAAAUCCAAUCGUGAAUCUGCAAGAAAUGUAAAUAACACAAGAUGUAUCGUGGUUCACCCCAAGAUUUGGGCUACGUCCACACUGAUUAUGUAUUUAUCUGAGGGAGAGAGAGCUCUGAGAGUGAGAGCAUGGAGAGGGGGUCAGAGGGCCUAGGAAUUGGCUUUCUCUAAUUAUGAGGGUGAGGGGUCCUUUUAUAGAAUAAGGACUCCUCACUUAUUACAUAUUUGCCCCUUCCUUUAUUACAUAAUUACAUUUAAGUCCCCCGAGUAUUUAUACGUGGUCUAAAUACGAGGCCCUAAAUAUGGUAUAAACAUAGGUAAUCUACUCAUAAUAGGAAUAUAAGAUACAUUCUCAUAUCUACUAGGAUUUACACAAUCACAUUCCUAAUCUAAUAUGAAUGCAACACUCCCCCUUGAGUAUGUUAAUACUCAAGUAAAUGGUGUAUCAGGUUUUCAGCGAUGAAGUAAGUACAAUUGAUGAAGUUGUCGGCACAAUGAGCGAAUGCAAUUCUCAAAUUAACGGAACAUGUAUAUUAUACCGUUGGUGAAAAUUACGCAACAUACAUAUAACGUUUAGCAAAAAUACGAGAAUAAAAUCACUUCCAAGUCGAAAUAGUUAAGAGAAGAAAGUAAGCAAAAUAAGGGCGUUAAGGUCUGCCAUGCAUCCUGGCCACUCUAUACUACACCGUGACCCUGCUCCAUAUAAAUUAUACAGCGGUGGGGCUUUCUAACUAAAUCUGCAACCACACUAAAAAAUAAAUAAAAAAACUAGUUACUUUAAUAAAUUACACUUGUUGUAGGCAUAAUUUACUGAACAAUUAUGGAGGCCAUAGAGAGAGAAAUAUGUGGCAAUAUUGAAGAGAAGAGAUAGAUGUGUAAUUGUGAGGUGUGUAUUAUUCCAACCCAUUGUGCCUUUAUUUAUAGUAGUAGGGAAGGUUAAUUCCUUACCCUUUAGGAUUACAACAUUUAAUAGGUAAUCUACUCCUAAUAGGAAUAUAAGAUACAUUCCCAUAUCUACUAGGAUUUACACAAUCACAUUCCUAAUCUAACAGGAAUGCAACACUCCCCCCUUGAAUAUGUAAAUACUCAAGUAAAUGGUGCAUCAGGUCUUCAGCGAUGAAAUAAGUACAGUUGAUAAAGUUGUCGGCACAAUGAGCGAAUGCAAGUCUCAAAUUAACGGAAGAAUGCAUAAAAAGUAAAACUCAUAAAACCUCGCUAUGGUCAAACCCAAGGUGGGAGAAAAACUCAUAGACUAAGGAGAAAAGUGAGAAGUUGCAUUAAGUCAAAACUAUACGUCUUUUGGACGAAAGUAGUAGAGCUCAUAAGGGUAUGAUCAAUCCUGGAUGGGUGCCUCGUUAAAACCUAGUUAGGUAGCAAAAAUCCAGUGGAAAAAAUGCUCCUAAUCAUAGGGAAAAAUAGUACAUUAAGAUCAAGUGAGUAUACUUCUGGAUACUCCCCCUGAGUUUGACAUAACUUCCAAAUGAGAACUACAAACAUUGCAUAUGAAUAGUUAGGCAUACCAAUUCCUUGGACAAGCUUCUGGAAGGUUGACUUCGACAGUGACGUCAUGUAGAGGUUGGCAAGGUUGUUUGGGAUCGGCUUGCAUGACUUCAAUCUCCUAAUGCUUUGAUGAUGUAGAUGUAAACAUAAUAUGUCUUGGUGUUGACUUGUAUCAUGGCUUGGUCUGGUGGAUACAUGAUGCAAAGUCUUUAUGGAUCGUCAUUGGGACUCAACGAUGGAUGAAAACAGCAAGUACUUCGAAUAUGCUAAACAAUAACUCCUAACCAUGUCUCAUUUAUGGCGUAGUAAAGUGAAGUAAGUCUUGGAACGAUUCGAAGAUUUCGUAACUAAGGUCAUAUCGUGGACCUCCAAGAUAUUGCGAUAUCCCUAAUGGUAAAGACAUAACCAUUUGAGGAUUUUGCCUUGUGCGGGUUUGAUAUGCAACAUGCGUCAGCAUAACAAAUAACCCGUGUAGUUCGACUAGUAAACCAAAAUACCAUCAGAACAAUGCUUCAACUUCAUGUCAAGGCAUAAACGAAUUUUUCCUAAGAUCUUUCAUCUCAAAUUCCAUCUUCAGGUGCAAGGCAGUUUUCUCAAGCUCUUCUAGAGUCUUAGCGAGAUUCGUGUCAAAGACAUAAACUGUAACUUUAGCAAUUCGGAGUAAGACUUCAUAGUUUAACAUGCAAGGGCAUAAUUGAUAUCCCUGACUGAUCAAAUAAUCACUUAGACGGGUAUACCACAUUUGUUGGAUUGUAAGUGAAUGCCUCAAACAAGUUAAGAGUGUGUUCCGUGGUUUUGGAACUAUUUGAACCAGUCCAUGUAAUUAUUCGGGAACUUACAUGUAAAUCUCCGUAUUUAUAUUCCUAUGGAGAAAACAUUAACCACAUUACAUAAUGCUCUUAUCAAUCACAGGACGUUUGAGAGAAACCUUGUGCCGUAAGGCGUGAAUCAUAUCGUACUAUUUCAUUCAUCUCAUAACGCUUCCUUUCCUACUUGUAACACAAUAGGGUUACCUUGGGCAGUGUAGGAAUGACAGGUCCAAUACACACUUUGGUAAGGAAUUUGACCUGGAUUGUAAUUUCAGUUGUCUAGUCAAUUUUACGUUGUCACUUAAUCAUAGGAACAUGGUUCGAUAUUGUUGCUUUUCAUUUAUGUCGGUAGCUACCAUAUAAGUGAAAACAUCAUCGAUGAUAAUCUCAUUUCAAUUCCAUUUAGCUCAUCCAAACUAGUAUACUGGACCAAGAACUUCAAGUCUAAGGACUAAUCCGGAUUAAUCUCAUAAGAUGGAAAUGAUUUGAGAUAGCGAUCAAGUAUGGAUUCAUUUUGUGCCGUAUCUUCCUCUUCUAGGGAAGUGAAUCCGACGAACCGAGUUAUCUGUCGUGCUCUAGGCCAAGACAAAUUGAUUGGCUAUCCGCGUGUGUACCGGACCGUCCAACAGAGGCGUCUAAACCAUCCAAUAAGGGAUGUUGACUCGACGUCCGUUGAGUACGUCUAUCCUUGUAGGCAUGUUUGCAGCUGGUAUAUGAUCUCGUAACUUUAGCUAAAUCAGAGGAAUGCGUUUUGAGCAACAUUCUAAAAGCUAGAAUUUAUCGCACUUGCUUAUCACACUUGUGCGGUAUGGGUAUCGAGAUGUGACAUAGUGGGCAAUGUCCACACAAAUUCAAGCUGUUAUCUAGGAACAUUGACGUUCUUAUCUCCCCCUAACAGCGGGAAGACUGUCUCAUUAAAUUGAAAACCCACAAAUAAGUGGUAAAGAGAUCGCAUGCAAGGGCUCUAAGAGUGCUAGUGUGAAAAAGAAUCAUAAUCGACAAAAGAAACAUAUCCUUCUUUGAGGACCCAUGUUGGUACGUUGUGGUGGCGUAACUUGGCGCAUGAAAUGCACACCCAAAUGCGUAAAUACGAAAAUCGUUAGGUUCGUAUCUAGUAACCAAUAACGUCAAAUAGGUUGGGUGGCAAUGGGCCUCAAGGCGGACCAACAUAACUGCGUACAAGAUUGCAUAGCCCUAGGCAAAAACCAAAAACUUGGUACGUUCACCAAAAUUCGGGUGAUCAUUUAAAUUGCACUUUAUGAUCACUAAGCGAGGCUAUUUGGGGUGAAUAUGGAAAUUCGAUGUUCAAUUAUAAACCUAAAAUACAUGCAAUACUUUAUCGAAAACUGUCGAUAUAAACUCUUCGGCAUUAUCCAGUCUCCCGGACCUUAAGGGAUAAGUAGGGUGGUGAGCCUUUAAUCGGCCAUGAGGUUUAGCAGCAAUGUGUGUGGACAAACAUGUGAUCAGUUUAUCAAUUCAUCAACCAAAAUCAUAAGUAUUUAUAUGGUCCACAUUUUGGUUGGAUUAGUCUACAUAUGUUCCUUUGAAUCCACUGUGAAAAGAUAGUCGUUUCGUAUCUUUGCAAUGGAUGAUUUAGAAAAUCAAUUUCCCUAAUGAGCAGGCUUGACAAAGUAUGCUUGUAGGCACAAGAUUGUUACUUCAGGUAAGGAGAUGCGUUGUAGCAUCAUUGUUCGACCUAAGUGUCCCAAAAAGGUCGUGCUAAAUCAAGUAAACUGCUAAAUCACUAAGCUCCAGGUCGGCCACAUGUGGUGUGUUCCCAGUUAGGAGACAACCCAUUGGCCUCAAAUCAAAGCUUCAGGCUCAUUUUUGGAGGUGGUGCAAAGAUAUUCCACUAUAUUUUCAUAAGUGGUUUCAUUUAUGAUCAUUGUUCUCUAGAAUAUCCUUAAAAACUCAACAAAAGGGAGAAUUUAGGGUCCCUUAAAUGGUAAUUCGAUACCAUUCUUAUAACGAGUAGCGUGUCGAUGCUUUUAAUCAGGUUGGAUAUACUUGAAGUCAUUGUUAGAGAUGUGAUUUAGGUGUAAAGUUAGUGUGCGUACUAUUGCAUUCAUUCAGACAACUAACUUUCCCACAUUCCUACCUAAUCACGUGUUUAAUUGAAUUGGUCACAUGUAUUAAGAAACAUGAUUCAAUUAACUCACAUUCGAGGACAAUAUCAAUAAGAUUAUCCAUAAGUAAAACAUACACCAAACUUGAAUAUAAGAACAUGGAAAAAUGUUCACAAAGUAAAUGGUUUACUGAGGGGAUUCGGCCAACAAGGCCAUCCAUGUCAAAAUUUUGCUCUUCCAAUGAUGUUCGGUGGAGCAAAAUUAAUCUCACAUAUUGACUACGAGAAUGGUACUCUCAACAACAUUGGUAGGGGCACAGACAGGUGCAUAAUCAAUGAUCUAUUCCAUCGAGACGGAAAUAGAUUCUACAGGGUUGAGGUUUGAGAAUAUUAUCCCUUAUUCUUGAAGUUUUAGGUCUUAAGUACGAAUGAUCACGCAUCAGGCAUGAUGCCACACCUUGGCAGGCCUUGAUUCUACCAUAUGUUGUAAAAACAAAAUUGAAAUUGGAUUGUGAUUGGGUUCGGUAGGCUCAAGCCGGUGACCUUUACCGAAGCAGAGCAUACCUUUCGGUACAUCAUUGCCGAAGCAGGGCAUCACCGUUUGGUAGGCUUUGACCGAACUGGGUCGAGCCAUUUUGGUAGACUCUAGCCGAACUGAGUCUAUACCUUUCUCUCACAUUUGUGGUAGUAAUCAGAUUUAAGAAUUUGAUAAACUUCCGCUUUCUACAUUACUGCUUUAGGGGUGAAUUAGAAACAAAGAAGGAUGAGAAAAACUUUCUUUAGUCAAAAUUCGAUCAGAUUUAUAAACUUCAGAAUUGUAUUUAUUCAUGGAUGUAAUCAUGGUGUGCUUCAGGCAAUGUCUUUCAUGAUUAGAUAGUCCGCAGGAACGAGUCAAAGAGCCAUGGAAUACUCGUUCGGGUGGUACUUCAGUUUGUAAUGCUUUGGGCAUAAGUCUUCGAAUAAAGAUCAUGGUAGAUGCUUAUUCAGCUCUUCCAUGCCAUUGUUGGCGUCAGUGGUUUCUCAGCUUCUUGAUAGUCAAGUGGAGAUUCACGUCUUGUACCCCACAUAAAGUGGUUUCUAUUAGAAACGUCCAAAUUAGAGAAAUCGAACUUGUGACGGUCAACAAUCCAUUGAAUUGGAGGGAACAAGAUUGUGAUUGGUAUUAUGGGAAUGAAUCAUCCAUAAGCAUCAAAGUUAGAACAUUCGAGUUCUAAGACAUGGUUUUCAUGAGUGUAUUGUUUUAUGAAAACUUUCGGGUUUCAAAGGCACUAAAUUUGAAAUUACGGGUUCAAUUUUAGUAUAUGAACGUUUAGUUCGUAAAAGAGAGGUUCCUGCAAGAACACAUAAUGAAAUAUACAACUAAGUGUAGUGGAUUUGAGUUGCUUCGGGAACUCAAGUGUGAGAGCUUAGUUACUACGAAAGUAUGUCAACGGUUCAAAGUAUAAAAAUAAAUUAUUGAAUCAUUAAUGUCCAAAAGUGAUCUUCAGGUCAAUAAAUUUGGAUUCAUUAUUAGAUUAAUGGACUGCAGGUCACUUUUAAUUAAUUCAAUAAAUCAGGGCAUAGGGGUCGAUUGUAGAAGCUAAAUAAUAUUAAAAUAAUAUUAUUGGGUCGAAAAUACCAUAGCCUAAAAAUUGGGCUGGGUGCCGUGAGCAAAAGGCUCGGGUGUGGCUGCAAUAGUAGCCUAUGGGAUGGCUUCAGGCCACAUGCCUAGGGUUUUGAAGUCCAGCAACAAAUGCUGGCUUAAUUAGGGUCGAUGGAGGGUACGGGUUAGGCUUAGUAGAUUGCUGGCCUUGGGUUUGCAUGGGAAGGCAAGCUCAGCGAGGCUGGCUUGCAAGCUUUUGGGUCACAUGAGGCCCAACCACAGGCUAGGGCCGAGUUAUUGGGCUGCGGCACAAGCCCAACAACCAAAAAGGUUGUGGCAUAGGGCCGGGGUGAGGCAAGGGCCUAGUAGUA